ACCUGGCUGGCUCAGUUGGUAGAGCGUGUGACUCUUGAUCGCAGGGUUGUGAGUUCAAGCCCCACGUUGGACA
rnacentral:tRNA from 1 species